GGCAUUUCUCUGCUUACCGCUCUUGCAGCCUCUGCACCAAUAAUUUCAGCAUCCGGCUGGGAUUGUGCUAGAAUCGAUUGCAUGAUACUGUCAUACUUGCUCAGACAAUACUUUGUAAGUAAACCAAAAAAGGCAUCAAAAGAUGCCUGCCAAAGGGCAGGAUUAGGCAUGCUGAAACUGCUAGCAGCCUUAGAAUCAGUUAAUAGAUGAGUGGCCCCUUCAA
rnacentral:misc_RNA from 1 species